rnacentral:rRNA from 1 species
GAUAAACGCUGGCGGCGUGCUUUAUGCAUGCAAGUCGAACGGUCUCGAUUUAUCGGGAUAGUGGCGAACGGGUGAGUAACACGUAAGCAACCUGCCCCUAAGUAGGGGAUAACUCUGAGAAAUUAGAGCUAAUACCGUAUGUGGUGGUGGGAGUAAUGUUUCAUCAUUAAAGCCCUCGGGUGCUUGGAGAGGGGCUUGCGUCCGAUUAGCUAGUUGGUAAGGUAAUGGCCUACCAAGGCGAUGAUCGGUAGCUGGUUUGAGAGGACGGCCAGCCACACUGGGACUGAGACACGGCCCAGACUCCUACGGGAGGCAGCAGCAAGGGAUAUUGUGCAAUGGGCGAAAGCCUGACACAGCGACGCCGCGUGGGGGAUGAAGGGCUUCGGUUCGUAACCCCUUUUCCCGGGGAAGAAUAAUGACGGUACCCGGGGAAUAAGUCUUGGCUAACUACGUG